GCAUGUUGAAUUCCCAUGCCAGGGAUCAAACCCACCACACAGCAGCAACCUAAGCUGCUGCGGGACAAUGCUGGAUCCUUAACCUGCUGUGCCACAGGUGAAGUCCAAGAAUUUGUUCAUUUUUAACUUAUCUAUGAAGCAGAAACAGAUUCAGAGACAUAGUGAACAGACUUGGGUUGCCAGGGAUGGGGUGAGAGAAGACGAUGGGGAGGAAUGCAUUUGGAGUUUGGGAUUAGCAGACGCAAACUAUUAUAUAUAGAAUGGAUAAACAACAAGGUUCUACGUAGAGCAUGGGGAACUAUAUUCAGUAUCCUGUGAUAAACCAUAAUGGAAAAGAGUAUGAAAAAGAAUGGAUGUAUAGCAGUACAAGUGACGCAUUUUGCUAUACAGCAGAAAUGAACACAUUGUAAAUCAACUCUACCUCAGUAAAACUUGCUUAAAAAUAAGUUUGUUCAUUUUUAUGACUGAGCAGUAUUCUAGUUAUAGAUUAGUACAAAUAAAGCCGCUAUGACAAUCGUGUAAGGGUUUUUAUGAGGUCAUACCUUUUCACUUCUCUAGGAUAAACGUCCACUGGUGCCAUUGCCAGUUCAUAUAAUAAGUAUGUUUAGUUUUUCAAAAGCUGCCAAACUAUUUCCAAAAUGGUUGUACAAUUUUAUGCAGGUUCCCAGGCUAGGGGUCAAAUAGGAGCUACAGCUUCCAGCCUACACCACAGUCACAGCAACGCAGGAUCCGAGCUGCAUAUAUGAACUACACCACAGCUCAUGGCAAUGCCAGAUCCUUAACCCACUGAGGGAGGCCAGGGAUAGACCCACAACCUCAUGCUUCCUAGUUGGAGUCAUUUCUCCUGCGCCCCAGUGGGAACUCCGGUGGUACAAUGUUAUAUUCCUAUUAGCAAUGUAGGAGAUAGCCGGUGUCUCUGUAUCUUUGCCAGAUUUUGUAUUAUCACUUUUUUUGUUGUUGUUGUUGUUAUAGGGCCACACCCGCGACAUGUGGAGGUUCCCAGGCUAGGAGUCUAAUCAGAGCUGUAGCUGCCAGCCUACGCCACAGCCACAGCAAUGCCAGAUCUAAGCCUCGUCUUUCACAGCAAUGCAGGAUCCUAAACCCACUGAGUGAGGCCAGGGAUCAAACAUGCCUCCUCACGGAUACUAGUCAGAUUCAUUCCCACUGAGCCACAACGGGAACUCCUCACCUUUUUUUUUUAAGUUUUUUGGUGGCACCUGAAAGUUCCUGGGCCAGGGAUUGAAUCCAAGCUGCUGCUGUGGAUUAUGCCACAGUUGUGAAAAUGCUGGAUCCUUUAACCCACUAUGCCAGGCCAGGGAUCAAACCCACACCUAGGCUUUAAACCAAGCCACAGCAGUGAUAGCACCAAAUCCUUAAUCCAGUGAUCCACCAGGUAACUCCUUCCUCUCAUGUUUUUGUCUUUAUUUUGUUUUGUUUUGCCCAAGGAUGUCUAAUUAGUCCAGCACCAUUUGUUGACAAGAUUCUUUUCCUCCCCUGAACUGAUUUGUCAUCUUUUCUUGGAGUUAUUUUGCGGAGCAGUAGUUAAGGAUCCAGCAUUGUCACUGCAGCAGCUUGGAUCACUGCUGUAGAAUGGGCUCUCUCCCUGGCCCAGGAACGGCUGCAUGCCUGAGGCACAGCCAAAAAAAAAAAAAAGAAAAAAAAAAAAAACCAAAAUCUUGAUUACUGUAGCUGUGUAAGUAAGCCUAAACAUCAGGUAGAAUGUGAAGUUCCCAUUGUGGCACGGCAGAAACAAAUCUGAUCAGGAACCAUGAGGUUGCGGGUUCAAUCCCUGACCUCGAUCAGUGGGUUAAGGAUCCUGCAUUGCUGUGAGCUGUGGUGUAGGUAGCAGAUGGGGCUCAGAUCUGGCAUUGCUGUGGCUGUGGCAUAGGCCGGUGGCAACUGCUCCAAUUAGAUCCCUAGCCUGGGAACCUCCAUAUGCCAUGGGUGCAGCCCUAAAUAUAUAUAUACAUAUAUAUCAGGUAGAGUGAAUCUUCCCAUUUUAUUUUUCUUUUCAAAAUUUUUAUAGAUAUUUUAGUUCCUAUACCCUUCUGUAUACAUUGUAGAAUAAGCUUUUCUAUGAUUACAAAAAAACCUUGGUAGAAUUUUGAUAGGAGUUGUAUUAAUUGAUCUUCAUAUAAAUCAAGUUGGGGAAGGCCAAUAUCUUUAUUCUAUUGAGUCUUCCAAUCUGUGAGCACAGUAUGUCUCUUUGUUUUUUAGAUUUUUUCUUUCACUUUUCAUAAACAUUUUAUAGUUCUCAUUAUAUGGGCCCUUAAAUAAAUUAUUAGAUUUAUACUUAGGUGUUUGAUUUUCUUUAUUGAGCAAUUGUUACUGGAAUAAAUAUAUAUAUAUGUUUGUUUGGGUUUUUUUGGCCGCCCCACAGCAUAUGGAAUUCCCAGCAUAUGCCGGAUUCUUAACCCACUGUGUCAGGGGUUGAAUCUGCAUCUCAGCACUCCAGAGAUGCUGUGGCUCCUGCUGCACCCCAGUGGGAACUCUGGUAUAUAUUUAUUUUUAAUUUAAUUUAAUUUCUUUUUUUUCUUUUUUACAGCUGUAUCUGUGGCAUAUGGAGGUUCCCAGGCUAGGGGUCAAAUCGGAGCUACAGCUGAAGCCUAUGCCAGAGCCACAACAACACCAGAUCUGAGCCACAUCAGCAAGCUUUGCUGCAGUUUGCAGCCAAGCUGGAUCCUUAACCCACCGAGCAAGACCAGGGAUUGAACCCUUAUCCUCAUGGAUACUAUCAGGUUCUUAACCCACUGAGCAACAAUGGGAACUCCAGGCAUAUAUAUUUUAAUUUCAUCUUUCAUGUGUUCAUUGCUAGAAUGUAGAAGUACAAUUGAUGUUUUUGUGUUGAUUUUGUAUCCUCUGGUCUUGCUGAACUCAUUUAUUAGCGCUAGGAGUUUUUGGUAGCCUCCUACAGAUAUUCCACAAAGACAAUCAUCAUCUGCAAAUGGGGACAGCUUUCUUUACUUUUUUCUUUCUUUCUUUCUUUUGCCUUACCUUUUUUUUUUUUUUUUUUUUUUUUUUUUUGCCUUUUCUAGGGCCGCUUCCCGUGGCAUAUGGAGGUUCCUAGGCUAGGGGUCUAAUCGGAGUUGUAGCCGCUGACCUACGCCACAGCCACGGCAACGCAGGAUCCAAGCCGUGUCUUUGACCUACACCACAGCUCACAGCAA
rnacentral:lncRNA from 1 species